UGAAACCACUUUUCGUAAACAAUUUAAUUUUGCAAUUAAAUUAUAAUUAACGUUUGAAUUUAUAAACUAAUUAUAUAGAAAUAAUUAAAAAUGAAUAUUUUCUAUGUAAUAAAUCAAGAGUUUUCAAGUCGCUUACUCAAUCUAUAUAGCUAAACUUUCAAACAAGAGAUGGUGUUGCGUUAGCGUGUUGCACGUAACAUGUUAUUUGUUAUUUUGUAAGUGGUAUGUUUACUAAUAUAAACGUAUGAUGUUCCUAACUUUCAUAUAAGUAUUUUUGAGUCACGUUUUACGUGACAUUUAUUCAAUCUUUUGUACAAAGAUACUAUAAAUUAAUCAAAAUAACCUCAACGUGAAUAAUGCUUGUUUUACGCGGUUUACAAAACACAAAUUUGCUUGUGCUACUUGGUGGUCUUUUACUGUGCCUCGUUUUUAUGAUACAAGUUAAGCAAAUCUAUAAUAACAAUCAGAAAUACAACAGAUACUUGGGCUAUAAACAAUAUAUGAAUGAAAUAUCAACAGAAUUAAAAGCAGUAGAAAAAUCUGCAAACAAGUCUUCAACUUACGUUCGUCAGUUGAAUGAAAUUCUUCUAAAACGUCGUGAAAAGGAUGUGAAAAACAUUUCUCUACUACAUCCUACUUUUCCAUUAUAAUUUAUUUCAACAGAUUACCUGGAAGGUUGGUGAUACAUAAAAAUCCUGAUCAAUAGGAAAUGGCAUUUUGUAAUUUAUGUUGUGCUCUAUUUUCAAACACACACAAUGAAAUAAUGUUAGAAAUUAAUUUUAUAUUAAUGAGAGAAAAUAGUUGAGAUUUACCUUCAACGAGAAG